rnacentral:tRNA from 1 species
GCCCUGAUAGCUCAGUGGUAGAGCGUUUGACUGGUAUUCAAAAGGUCCCGAGUUCAAAUCUCGGUCAAGGCC